rnacentral:rRNA from 1 species
UACGAAGGGGGCUAGCGUUGCUCGGAAUUACUGGGCGUACAGGGCGCGUAGGCGGACAGUUUAGUCAGAGGUGAAAGCCCAGGGCUCAACCUUGGAAUUGCCUUUGAUACUGGCUGUCUUGAGUUCGGGAGAGGUGAGUGGAAUGCCGAGUGUAGAGGUGAAAUUCGUAGAUAUUCGGCGGAACACCAGUGGCGAAGGCGACUCACUGGCCCGAUACUGACGCUGAGGCGCGAAAGCGUGGGGAGCAAACAGG